GUGGGGAAUAUUGGACAAUGGGCGCAAGCCUGAUCCAGCCAUGCCGCGUGAGUGAUGAAGGCCUUAGGGUUGUAAAGCUCUUUCAGUGGGGACGAUAAUGACGGUACCCACAGAAGAAGCCCCGGCUAACUUCGUGCCAGCAGCCGCGGUAAUACGAAGGGGGCUAGCGUUGUUCGGAUUUACUGGGCGUAAAGCGCACGUAGUCGGAUCGUUAAGUCGGGGGUGAAAUCCUGGAGCUCAACUCCAGAACUGCCUUCGAUACUGGCAAGCUAGAGUCCGGAAGAGGUAAGUAGAACUCCUAGUGUAGAGGUGGAAUUCGUAGAUAUUAAGAAGAACACCAGUGGCGAAGGCGGCUUACUGGUCCGGAACUGACGCUGAGGUGCGAAAGCGUGGGGAGCAAACAGGAUUAGAAACCCUAGUAGUCC
rnacentral:rRNA from 1 species